CCUUAGAGUUUGAUCCUGGCUCAAGACGACCUUUGGCGGCGUGCUUAACACAUGCAAGUCGAACGAAGUUGCUCUUUGGGAAGCCCUCGGGUGGAACUGUGAGUAUACUUAGUGGCGGACGGGUGAGUAACGCGUGAGCAAUCUGCCCUGCGGUGGGGGACAACAGUUGGAAACGACUGCUAAUACCGCAUAAGACCACGAAACCGCAUGGUUUAGAGGUAAAAGGAUUCAUUCGAUGCAGGAUGAGCUCGCGUCCCAUUAGAUAGUUGGUGAGGUAACGGCCCACCAAGUCAACGAUGGGUAGCCGACCUGAGAGGGUGAUCGGCCACAUUGGAACUGAGAAACGGUCCAAACUCCUACGGGAGGCAGCAGUGGGGAAUAUUGGGCAAUGGGGGAAACCCUGACCCACCAACGCCGCGAGAAGGAAGAAGGCCUUCGGGUUGUAAACUUUUGUCCUAUGGGACGAAAAAAAUGACGGUACCAUAGGAGGAAGCUCCGGCUAACUACGUGCCAGCAGCCGCGGUAAUACGUAGGGAGCAAGCGUUGUCCGGAAUUACUGGGCGUAAAGGGUGCGUAGGUGGCCAUGUAAGUCAGGUGUGAAAGACCGGGGCUCAACCCCGGGGUUGCACUUGAAACUGUGUGGCUUGAGUACAGGAGAGGGAAGUGGAAUUCCUAGUGUAGCGGUGAAAUGCGUAGAUAUUAGGAGGAACACCAGUGGCGAAGGCGACUUUCUGGACUGUAACUGACACUGAGGCACGAAAGCGUGGGGAGCAAACAGGAUUAGAUACCCUGGUAGUCCACGCCGUAA
rnacentral:rRNA from 1 species